GACGAACCGUGCAAACGUUAUUCGGAAUCACUGGGCAUAAAGGGCGCGUAGGCGGCUCCAAAAGUCAGGGGUGAAAUCCGGCAGCUUAACUGUCGCAGUGCCUUUGAUACUGUGGAGCUAGAGGGAGGUAGGGGUCUGUGGAACUUCCGGUGGAGCGGUGAAAUGCGUUGAUAUCGGAAGGAACGCCGGUGGCGAAAGCGACAGACUGGAUCUCUUCUGACGCUGAGGCGCGAAAGCCAGGGGAGCAAAGCGGGG
rnacentral:rRNA from 1 species